GAUGAAGAACGUAGCGAAAUGCGAUAAGUAAUGUGAAUUGCAGAAUUCAGUGAAUCAUCGAAUCUUUGAACGCACAUUGCGCCCUCUGGUAUUCCGGGGGGCAUGCCUGUUCGAGCGUCGUUAUAACCACUCAAGCUCUCGCUUGGUAUUGGGGUUCGCGGUUUCGCGGCCCCUAAAAUCAGUGGCGGUGCCUGUCGGCUCUACGCGUAGUAAUACUCCUCGCGAUUGAGUCCGGUAGGUCUACUUGCCAGCAACCCCUAAUUUUUUUAAGGUUGACCUCGGAUCAGGUAGGGAUACCCGCUGAACUUAAGCAUAUCAAUAAGCGGAGGA
rnacentral:misc_RNA from 1 species